UGGGGAAUAUUGCACAAUGGGCGCAAGCCUGAUGCAGCCAUGCCGCGUGUAUGAAGAAGGCCUUCGGGUUGUAAAGUACUUUCAGUCGGGAGGAAGGUGGUAAGGUUAAUAACCUUAUCAAUUGACGUUACCGACAGAAGAAGCACCGGCUAACUCCGUGCCAGCAGCCGCGGUAAUACGGAGGGUGCAAGCGUUAAUCGGAAUUACUGGGCGUAAAGCGCACGCAGGCGGUUGAUUGAGUCAGAUGUGAAAUCCCCGGGCUUAACCCGGGAAUUGCAUCUGAUACUGGUCAGCUAGAGUCUGGUAGAGGGGGGUAGAAUUCCAUGUGUAGCGGUGAAAUGCGUAGAGAUGUGGAGGAAUACCGGUGGCGAAGGCGGCCCCCUGGACAAAGACUGACGCUCAGGUGCGAAAGCGUGGGGAGCAAACAGG
rnacentral:rRNA from 1 species